CCUUAACGAGAAUCUGAUACGGUUCCAGUCAGACCGGAAGGGAAAGACGCUAGUACAGCUUCGCAACC
rnacentral:pre_miRNA from 1 species